UUCAGCUCUCCCCUUUGCAUGCUUAUUUCCUGUAAGACAAAUUAAUGCAAUGCAGGAGGGAUAGAGCAGUUCUCUGGUGGAAACUGCCGUUGGUGGCAGGGCUCUCCAUUGUUACAGCGUAGCUUAUGUCAGUAAUUUAUAUCAGUGUAGUCUUUGGCAUAUUCAGGCAUGCUGAAAAUCCUACAAGGCAGGUUUUAGACACAAUAUGUCGGGCAGAAUGAUUUAUAGGUGAUAUAUAUGUAUGUAUAUGUAUGUAUGUAUAUAUAUAUAAUUAUAUAAACAAAUGAUGCUUUACCUAAAAUGGAAAAUUUCAGCUGCUCCAACAGUCUGUCCUCUCUGACUGCUUCAUUCCUUUGUCUUUUUUUUGUUAUAAUAGAGCUUCUAUAAAUUUCAUGAAGAUACAUCCUUCCCUGACUGAAAAUUAGCAGAGCUGGCCUCUAGCAUUGAGAAUGGAAACAUGGAUUUAUAGUUUCUGUCUGCUUAUUCACUUGCCAAAACUGUAUGACGGAAAGAAGAACUCAAAUUUUCUUAGACUACUGUGCUUCAUCUGAUCCUUGUCUAUGGAGUGUAUGCUGGGAGAAGAUAUGAUGACUGGAAGGGAGAAUCCAGAUGGCCUGGGUAAAGUACUCUACAAUAGCUCCUGCUAGUCAAAAGAGAUAGGAUCUCAUCACUUCCCACUUUUACGUUAGUAACUGAAUAUAAUCAAGCCAAAUUGUACCUUUUUUAUUUUUUAUUUUUUUGGACCUACACGUUAGGGACAAAUAUCACUAUUUUUAUUUACCUACAGCGUUACAAAUUUUUCUUUUAGUGAACUUCCACAUGCCCCUAGAGCUUUUCCUUCUGUUCAGUUGUUAUGAAUCAUUUCCAUUUAGAAAAUGCCAACAGCUUUGAUGAGUUGGGCCUGUCCCUUCCACUGAAUGCCUGAUGUUCACUGAUCUUACAGGCAGAGAAGGGCAGCACACUCAGAGAUGCCAAAGAAUGCUUUCCUGAUUCCCAGCCUGUAUAAGUUUUAACAUCAAAUGGACACACACAAAGCCUUUGACACCUAAGCUAUUGUGGUGUGGUGGCAUUGCUAGCAAAAUGGGCAAUGCAGUUUACUAAUGUCUGCUUGGUAGAUGAUGCACUGUGUGUGGGCAGUCUUCUCACAGUGAGGUAGAGCCAUCCUUUGGGGGUGUGUAUC
rnacentral:lncRNA from 1 species